rnacentral:lncRNA from 1 species
AGAUAAUGAACCCAACGGACUCGGGACAAUACGGGAACGCGCCUCUGGUGUUGGCCUGUUGGUACAAGAACGUCAAGCUUAUUCCAUGGAUGCUAACAGCUUGAACAAGGAAUGAUAAUCCCGUAUAGGUUUCAGGUCAAUUGUGUGUUGAGUUAUCUUGUAUUUGAGGUCGAAUUUUAGGAGGUUAAAGGGUUGGUUCACUUCGUGUCGUGGAGUGAAUUCAAUUCCAUUGUGGUUAAAAAAUACAUGAUGCACGUUAGGUUACGUUGGAUCCAACUUAGUGAUUCAGGGUGGAACUAGACUGCUUCAUUGUAUUAUGUGGUAUAAUCUCUAGUGGGUUAAAUCUUUGUACCAAUGCUUUGUGAAAUGAAUGUUGAAGUUGAGCCAAAAAAAAAAAAA